GGGGGGGGGGGGGGGGGGGGGGGGCGGGUGGGGGGCGGGGGGGGGGGGGCGGGUGUGGGGGGGUGCGCGGGUGUCGAACGGUUGGGUCACGCGUGGUUAGCCUGCCCGGGGCUUGGGGAUCCGGGCGGGGAACUGGGGCUGAGACCGGGGUGUAGCUUCUGCUGCAUUGUUGGAGUUGGACAGUUUCGGCGGUUGGGGAGGGAAUCGUGGCUUCUCCGCUUGGUGGUGGGGUAGUUGCUUACCAAGGCGUUGACGGGUAGCCGGCUUGAGUGGGUGAACGGCCACAUUGGGACUGAGAUACAGCCCAGGCUCCUACGGGAGGAAGCAGUGGGGAAUAUUGCACAAUGGGCGGAAGCCUGAUGCAGCAACGCCGCGUGCGGGAUGACGGCCGUCGGGUUGUAAACCGCUUUCGCCUGUGACGAAGCGUGAGUGACGGUAAUGGGUAAAGAAGCACCGGCUAACUACGUG
rnacentral:rRNA from 1 species